rnacentral:rRNA from 1 species
GCAAGUCGAGCGGACAGAUGGGAGCUUGCUCCCUGAUGUUAGCGGCGGACGGGUGAGUAACACGUGGGUAACCUGCCUGUAAGACUGGGAUAACUCCGGGAAACCGGGGCUAAUACCGGAUGCUUGUUUGAACCGCAUGGUUCAAACAUAAAAGGUGGCUUCGGCUACCACUUACAGAUGGACCCGCGGCGCAUUAGCUAGUUGGUGAGGUAACGGCUCACCAAGGCAACGAUGCGUAGCCGACCUGAGAGGGUGAUCGGCCACACUGGGACUGAGACACGGCCCAGACUCCUACGGGAGGCAGCAGUAGGGAAUCUUCCGCAAUGGACGAAAGUCUGACGGAGCAACGCCGCGUGAGUGAUGAAGGUUUUCGGAUCGUAAAGCUCUGUUGUUAGGGAAGAACAAGUACCGUUCGAAUAGGGCGGUACCUUGACGGUACCUAACCAGAAAGCCACGGCUAACUACGUGCCAGCAGCCGCGGUAAUACGUAGGUGGCAAGCGUUGUCCGGAAUUAUUGGGCGUAAAGGGCUCGCAGGCGGUUUCUUAAGUCUGAUGUGAAAGCCCCCGGCUCAACCGGGGAGGGUCAUUGGAAACUGGGGAACUUGAGUGCAGAAGAGGAGAGUGGAAUUCCACGUGUAGCGGUGAAAUGCGUAGAGAUGUGGAGGAACACCAGUGGCGAAGGCGACUCUCUGGUCUGUAACUGACGCU